rnacentral:rRNA from 1 species
CCCUUAGAUGUUCUGGGCCGCACGCGCGCUACACUGAUGCAUUCAACGAGUUCUACCUUGGCCGAGAGGCCUGGGCAAUCUUUUGAACCUGCAUCGUGAUAGGGAUAGAUUAUUGCAAUUAUUAAUCUUGAACGAGGAAUUCCUAGUAAACGCAGUUCAUCAAACUGCAUUGAUUACGUCCCUGCCCUUUGUACACACCGCCCGUCGCACCUACCGAUUGAAUGGUCCGGUGAAGCCUCCGGAUUGGCGCGCACCUCGGUGCCGCCGAGAAGUUGGCUAAACCUUACCAUUUAGAGGAAGGUGAAGUCGUAACA